CAGAGGCCCCAAGCGUUACUGAGAAUCACUGGGUUUAAAGGGUGCGUAGGUGGUCCGUUAAGUUCGUUGUGAAAUCCCUGGGCUCAACCCAGGAAAUGCUUCGAAUACUGGCGGACUUGAGGCUAGUAGAGGUCACUGGAACUGACGGUGGAGCGGUGAAAUGCGUAGAUAUCGUCAGGAACGCCGAUGGUGAAGACAGGUGACUGGGCUAGUUCUGACACUGAGGCACGAAAGCGUGGGGAGCGAACGGGAUUAGAUACCCCGGUAGUCCACGCCCUAAACGAUGCAGACUAGACUGCAGUGGGUUACACCCCGUUGCGGUCGGAGCGAAAUUGUUAAGUCUGCCACCUGGGAAGUACGGUCGCAAGGCUA
rnacentral:rRNA from 1 species